AUUUGAGUGGGCCUAGGGUUUUGCUGUGUGCAGAUGCUAUGAUUGAUCUAAUUUUGAAGUCUGAGGUGAAUCAGUACAUGGAGUUCAAGAGCAUAGAUGGGAGUUUUAUCAGUGAUGGAGAGGGCAAUUUGGAGAGUGUACCUGACUCGCGCAGCGCAAUAUUCAAGGAUCGGAAACUAAGCUUUACGGAGAAGAAUCAGCUGAUGAGAUUCUUCAAGCUGGUACAAGGGCAUCUUGAGGCUGCAACAGCUGCUGAUGGUGGGGAGAGUAGCGAAAGUAAGAGCAUCUCGGAGCAGGAUUUAGAGAGUCCGUUCGUGGAGUUUUUAAGCAAAAUGGGGCUCUCUGCAAAGCUAAAAUCGAUUGUUCUAUAUGCAAUAGCUAUGGCAGAGUAUGAUCAAGAGAAUGCAGAUGUUUGCAGAAGUGUUCUUAAGACCAAAGAUGGUAUUGAUCGAUUGGCCCUUUAUCACUCAUCUGUUGGCAGGUUUCCUAAUGCACCUGGUGCUAUGAUUUACCCCAUCUAUGGUCAAGGGGAACUUCCGCAAGCCUUUUGUCGUCG
rnacentral:misc_RNA from 1 species